UCCGGCUUAACGCCGGCAGUCUCCUUAGAGUGCCCAACUGAAUGGUGGCAACUAAGGACGAGGGUUGCGCUCGUUGCGGGACUUAACCCAACACCUCACGGCACGAGCCGACGACAGCCAUGCACCACCUGUGUUCCCGUUCCCUUUCGGGCACAGCCCCAUCUCUGGGGCCUCCAGGACAUGUCAAGGGCUGGUAAGGUUCUUCGCGUUGCUUCGAAUUGAACCACAUGCUCCACCGCUUGUGCGGGCCCCCGUCAAUUCCUUUGAGUUUUAAUCUUGCGACCGUACUCCCCAGGCGGGAUGCUUAAAGCGUUAGCUGCGCCACUGACGGGUAAACCCGCCAACGGCUAGCAUCCAUCGUUUACGGCGUGGACUAC
rnacentral:misc_RNA from 1 species